AAAACGACUCUCGGCAACGGAUAUCUCGGCUCUCGCAUCGAUGAAGAACGUAGCGAAAUGCGAUAUCUGGUGUGAAUUGCAGAAUCCCGUGAACCAUCGAGUCUUUGAACGCAAGUUGCACCCGAAGCCUUCUGGCCGAGGGUACGCCUGCCUGGGUGUCAUGC
rnacentral:rRNA from 1 species